CAGCGCCGCGGUAAUACGAAGGGUGCAAGCGUUACUCGAAAUUACUGGGCGUAAAGCGUGCGUAGGUGGUGGUUUAAGUCCGUUGUGAAAGCCCUGGGCUCAACCUGGGAAUUGCAGUGGAUACUGGGUCACUAGAGUGUGGUAGAGGAUAGUGGAAUUUCCGGUGUAGCAGUGAAAUGCGUAGAGAUCGGAAGGAACAUCUGUGGCGAAGGCGACUAUCUGGGCCAACACUGACACUGAGGCACGAAAGCGUGGGGAGCAAACAGGAUUAGAUACCCCCGUAGUCCCUGUCUCUUAUACA
rnacentral:rRNA from 1 species